UCUGGAUCCUUAGCAAAACAGGCACUUCUGGGCGGUGACGUGUGACCACAGAUGCAUGGGGGAACAUUCUUGUACCCGGAACUCCAGUUUAAACCACUCGGUUUCCAUAAGCAUGGCCCUGCUCUCUGAGCUGCCGGGUCUUCUCUGGUCCCUGGUCCCAGCCCUCUGGCUCACUCUUCUUGGUCACUGCUCUGCAAGUUUAAACCAUGACUUUGGGAACUUACAUGGCAUCCAGAUAUAAAUUCAUGGUCUGCAGAGCCAGGACAAGUGUGGGUGGGCUUCAUUCUGGGAUUACCCCUUCGUCAUGAAGACAGGAAGGAGCGGAGUUUGAGCCUCUCUCUGUCUUUCACAAACUGUCGUUUAACCUUUCUGAGUCCUGGCUGCAGCUGCCUUCUCUGUCCCUACUUCACGGAGCUGCUAGAAAUAUGGACACCUGUGUAAGGUGUCACCCCUGUACAGUCGGUGCUCAGCACAUGUUAACAGGCUGUUUGACAUCCUGGUGGGCUAAGUAGAUCUUGUCACUGGACCCUGCAGGGCAGACCCACGGGGCCACCACAGCCUGUCCACCUCUAACUCGGGACACUGGACAGGGUUGAACUGGGAAAGGGCAGUGUGUGCCAGUGGCCACGAGGGGGAGUUAAAACUGACUAUUUAGAAUAAUUUGAGAAGGUCCCUGCACUACCAGCAGGUGGCGGCUCCUGUCCUAAACCCUUCCUCUCUUUCCAUUGCUCUCCACCAAGACUCCAAGACAAACUCCAACUAGAGUUAGGUCUCAGCCAAUUCUUAACAUCUUUGUGCCUCAGUCCUCUCAUCUGUAAGGUGCAGAUAAAAACGGCACUAUUUCCCCAAAGUUGCAAGCAAAGACAGAAGUGAGUUAAUAGGCAGACUGCUUACAAAGGUUCCUAGCGUGAAAUGCAUGUUAAUUAUUAAUUUAGAAAGAAUUUUUACUUUAAAGAAUCACUUGAGGCUCUUACUGAAAAUAAAGAUUUCUAGACACUUCCCCCUGGAGACUUUGAUUUUGGGGUGCUUGGGAGAGAUUUGAGGAUCCAUAUUUUUAAGAAGUACUCCAUGUUACUCUGUGACAGACGUGUGUAGCAAUGCUAGGUUACCGCACUACCACUCCUGAAGCCAAUGGAAAUUCACAUCCUCAGAAAGUCAGUCUGUUUCUUCACGUGAAAUGAUCUUUCCCUCGUGAGUAUCCAUGUAUUGUGUCUGUAUUUUGCUUGUCAGCUUUUGUCUCAGAGUUAUUUGUCAGCCUAUCUACAAAAGGCCUGGCACCCUUCCAGGCCCUCAUUUAUAUCUGGUGAUAUCUGACAUGGGCAACACAUCCCCAAAAAGUUGCUUUUAAACUUAAAAUAUUGUAAUCAAACAAGCAGCCAUUACCUGCAGUGCCUUCGGGAAUGGUUAAUAACAUCUAAGCUGUGGUGAUAAUGGCUGUGGCAUUUCUAGAGAUAACCUAGUCAAUACUGCUUCAGAUAGGUUCAUUGCUCUUCAAAUAUAUUUAGUAUUUGAAAACUGUUUCUGUGACCCACCUCCUAUGAUGGAAGGAUCAUCCUAAAAUAAACAUGGUUCUGUUCUGCAGAUUUCACAGUAAUCAAGACUCUGGUUUGAAAGGCAGAAGCUACCACCCACAGACCUAGGACUAGGCCAUGGGCCAAGACAGGCUGAGGCCAUGUGUGCUUAAUAAACAGACAGUAAGCCCCUAACUGGUAAAUGGGUACCUACUCUCCUCAAAGCUACCUGUCCCGCGGGAUUGCUGCUAUCCUCAGUGCUCUGGACCUCGGUCAGGCCUCACUGGUGGCAGCCAGAAGGAAUGACACUGUCUGGGCACUCAGUGCCCAAGCCCUCUGCUCUUAGUGUCACAGCAGCCAGUUAGAUGUUCUUUGAUAAACUUUGCAAGCAGGAGAAGAAGGGUGAGAUCAGCCACCAUUAACUCAGGCUAAACUUCAAGCCCCUUUUUAGUGCCCGGGUCCCACCGCCCCUUGGUAUGCCCCAGACACUUUCACAAGGACAAGCACAGGUCCAAAUAAGGGCCAGGAAAGAUCCCUGUCUCGGAGCCACACUGUCUUACAAGUUCAGAGGCUGGGAAGGCUGAAGGGAUGCGCAUUCUUCACAUCUGAGGCAGCUGAAUGGCAGGCUGGGGCCCUGGAACACCCUCUGCACUUUCCCGUGUCACAGGAAUCACUCUUCAUCACCUCAGCAAGGAGAAGAGCAGACCGUGCUGCGCAGCAUCAAACUUUCCCUCUCGGAGGCCACCUCUCAGAAAGGUUCGGCUGGGAGGGACGCCUUGCCAACUCCCGAUUCCAAGCUAAGUAUGGUAUUCUGCCCACGGGUACGACUGCCUGGCCUCACCCAGCCUCAGCGGCCUUCCGUCCCCUCUCACGAACUUGCUCAAGGCUUGGCUUCUCCACACAUUCUCACAGUGCCCACUCUACCUGUUCCAGCCCGCAGGGAUCUAGGGAGGCUCUGAAGUACGGGGCCACAGACACCGGCUACAUAUUCCUCAAAGCGGAAAGGACGGAAAGUUUGAAUUUGAUUCUAAGACACAAAUGAAGAUUUUUCUCCAAGUCUUUGAUGAUUGGACAGAACUAUAGAAUUUCAUAGGCAGGAGGGGAGACCUGAAAUUAAUGACUUGAAUCCAAUAACUUCUUUUUACUGGUAGGAUUUAGGAAUUAAAACUCACAUCUCAAUCAGAGCCAAGCUUGAGGCCAAGGCUCCUGAGUCCUGGAAAGGAUCAGUCCCAUGACACUGAGUUGGAUGCUGAAAUGUUCACCGUGCACUUUUAAGUGGAAAAAUUACCACCAUACAGAAAAAAGUCAAGGUGUUGUGCCAUGAGCCUCUCAUUUCAGAGCACUGUGCCCCUCUAGCACUGUUCCUAUAAUCCCCGAAGCGUCUAGGAGGGGAGUUUAAUGACCUCUCUUAUGGAUAAUAAAGAUUGGCACAGCUGAGUAACUUAGUCCAGGUCAAUAACAAGUAAGAGGCAGAGACAGGACUUCAGGAAGGUCUCAGGUCUAACUGACCUCUGUGCUCUUAACCACCCUGCCCAUCCUAAGGAACACAUCCUGGAAGGCAUAUGCCCAGAUGUCCUGCAGCGAGCGGGGGAACAGGCUGCUACCCACAUGAGCCGUGUCUUUCCUGGGGAAGAGCGCUCAGAUGCCCAUGGACUCUCCUAAAGGACCGAGACCCGGAGUUCAGGACGAGCAAUAUGAGAGGCCUGAAGGCAAUUCUGCAGCAGCACUGGGGUGUGCAAAUGUGCACACUCUUUAACCUAGCAUCGCUCACUCCUGGGAAUGUAAACUGCGGCUAUAGGCAGGAGUGAAGAGAUGGGCGUCCAGUGGUACAAACAGUGCUUGUUUGCAAAAGCCAAAGCCUGGAAAUCGCCUGAUCACUUAUUCAAAGCAAAUGGCUUCUACACCGUGUGAUGUAUUGAUUCUGUGCAGCUAGGAGAGCACAAGACGGGCUACCACCGCAGCUUGCUGAAUAAUGAAAUGUGAAGUAGCACCAUCAAUUACCUCCCUGGUUAAAGGCAGGAACAUAGGACUCUGUGUCAUAUACACUUGUAUUUUCAGGAAGAGACUUAGGUCUCUACACUACAGACGAAGCAAAAAAAUUGUUUAUCUCUAGUAGUGCUGUGGGAUAGGAACAGGAAUCAGACUUUUUUCACAGUGUAUUUUCUAAGAAUUUUUUAUGUGAUUGUAUGUAUUCAAAAAAUUCAGGUACAAAGCAGGAAACUUGUAAAAACUCCAGGUACUAUGGGA